GUGAACCUGCUGCCGGAUCAUUAUCGAU
rnacentral:rRNA from 1 species